UGUCUUUUUGAAUAUAAUAUAAAGUCUAAUCUGCCCACUGAUUUAGUAUUAAAGGGCUGCAGUAUAUUGACUGUACAAAGGUAGCAUAAUCAUUAGUCAUUUAAUUGAUGACUUGUAUGAAGGAUUGGAUGAAAUAUAAACUGUCUCUUAAUUAUAUUUAGAAUUUAAUUUUUUAAUUAAAAAGUUAAAAUAAAUUAAAAAGACGAGAAGACCCUAUAGAGUUUUAUAAAUAAAAUUAAUUGAGAUUAUUUGUAAAAUUAAAAUUAAGAUUAAUUUAAUUAUUUUGUUGGGGUGACAGAAAAAUAUGAAAAACUUUUUAUAUGUUUUAAAACGUUGAUAAGUGGUUAAAUGAUCCAGUAUUAUUGAUUAUAAGAAAAAAUUACCUUAGGGAUAACAGCGUAAUUUUUUUUUUUAGUUCACAUAAAAAAAAAAGUUUGCGACCUCGAUGUUGGAUUAAGAUAAAAUUUAAAUGUAGAAG
rnacentral:rRNA from 1 species